rnacentral:tRNA from 1 species
GGGAGAUAUCUUAGUGGGCAAAGUGCUUGCCUUGCAAGCAUCGGGACCUGAGUUCGAUUCCCAGAACCCA